rnacentral:rRNA from 1 species
GUCCACGCCCUAAACGAUGUCAACUGGUUGUUGGGUCUUCAUUGACUCAGUAACGAAGCUAACGCGUGAAGUUGACCGCCUGGGGAGUACGGCCGCAAAGGUUGAAAACUCAAAAGGAAUUGACGGGGACCCGCACAAGCGGUGGAUGAUGUGGUUUAAUUCGAUGCAACGCGAAAAAACCUUACCCACCUUUGACAUGUACGGAACUCGCCAUAGAUGGCUUGGUGCUCGAAAAGAGAAACCGUAAACACAGGUGCUGCAUGGCUGUCGU